AUUUGUCUGGUUAAUUUCGAUAACGAACGAGACCUUAACCUGCUAACUAGUUCUCAAUACACUGUAUUGUGAUACUUCUUAGAGGGACUAUGUAAAUCAAUUACAUGGAAGUUUGAGGCAAUAACAGGUCAGUGAUGCCCUUAUAUGUCCUGGGCUGCACGCGUGCUACACUGAUGCAUACAACAAGUGCCUAGCCAGAUAUGGUAUGGCAAUCUCGAAUAUGCAUCGUGAUGGGGAUAGAUCUUUGCAAUUAUAGAUCUUGAACGAGGAAUUCCUAGUAAGUGCAAGUUAUCAUCUUGCAUUGACUAUGUCCCUGCCCUUUGUACACACCGCCCGUCGCUCCUACCGAUACCGGGUGAUCCGGUGAACCUUUUGGACUCCGUAUGGGGAAAGAUAAGUAAACCAUAUCACCUAGAGGAAGGAGAAGUCGUAACAAGGUUUCCGUAGGUGAACCUGCRGAAGGAUCA
rnacentral:rRNA from 1 species